rnacentral:ncRNA from 1 species
UAUUCUCGGGGCGGGGUGAAAUUCCCCACCGGCGGUAAUUGAAUGUAAUAUAAGUUCAUUAGCCCGCGAGCGCUUUUGGUUUUGAUAGAGUUUCCAAAAUAAUCAAAAGGUCAGCUGAUUCGGUUGUUAGUUAAUAACAAAUUCCGAAGCCGACGGUUAAAGUCCGGAUGAAAGAGAAGG